rnacentral:rRNA from 1 species
UUAUUGCCUGGGGAGGAGCUUGCGGCAGAUUAGCUUGUUGGUAAGGUAACGGCUUACCAAGGCUACGAUCUGUAUCCGGUCUAAGAGGACGGUCGGACACACUGACACUGAAUAACGGGUCAGACUCCUACGGGAGGCAGCAGUCGGGAAUUUUGGGCAAUGGGGGAAACCCUGACCCAGCAACGCCGCGUGAAGGAUGAAGUAUUUCGGUAUGUAAACUUCGAAAGAAUAGGAAGAAUUAAUGACGGUACUAUUUAUAAGGUCCGGCUAACUACGUGCCAGCAGCCGCGGUAAUACGUAGGGACCAAGCGUUGUUCGGAUUUACUG